GGAAUAUUGGUCAAUGGGCGCGAGCCUGAACCAGCCAAGUAGCGUGAAGGACGACUGCCCUAUGGGUUGUAAACUUCUUUUGUUUGGGAAUAAAGUGGGUCACGUGUGGCCUUUUGUAUGUACCAUACGAAUAAGCAUCGGCUAAUUCCGUGCCAGCAGCCGCGGUAAUACGGAAGAUGCGAGCGUUAUCCGGAUUUAUUGGGUUUAAAGGGAGCGUAGGCGGCCCGUUAAGUCAGCGGUUAAAUGUCAGUGCCCAACAUUUGCAUGCCGUUGAUACUGGUGGGCUUGAAUACACACAAGGAUGGUGGAAUUCGUCGUGUAGCGGUGAAAUGCUUAGAUAUGACGAAGAACUCCGAUUGCGAAGGCAGCCAUCUGGGGUGCGAUUGACGCUGAGGCUCGAAAGUGCGGGAAUCAAACA
rnacentral:rRNA from 1 species